UACGUAGGGUGCGAGCGUUAAUCGGAAUUACUGGGCGUAAAGCGUGCGCAGGCGGCUUUGUAAGACAGGUGUGAAAUCCCCGGGCUUAACCUGGGAACUGCGCUUGUGACUGCAAGGCUUGAGUGCGGCAGAGGGGGGUGGAAUUCCACGUGUAGCAGUGAAAUGCGUAGAGAUGUGGAGGAACACCGAUGGCGAAGGCAGCCCCCUGGGUCGACACUGACGCUCAUGCACGAAAGCGUGGGUAGCAAACAGG
rnacentral:rRNA from 1 species